rnacentral:tRNA from 1 species
GUCCCUGUAGCGCAAUGGAUUGUGCGUUGGACUGCCAAUCCAAAGGUCGUGGGUUUGAGUCCUACCUGGGAUU